UUUUUUUUUUUUUGGCCUUGUCGGGUAAAACUGAGGUAUUUGACGGUGUAACUUUCAGCCGUGUUGGAGAGAGCGUUAGUUUUGCAGAGCCCACCUGUGCGUUGCGUUCCAUUUCUACUACAUUAGGGUGAGAGCUCUCUUUAAUCCACUGCGCUGAACGCAGCGGGUGCGGUAACAGCGGAGAUACACGAGCCUGAAGAGAAGGAAGACAAUCCCUGCGAUGGUGGUUUUGAAAUCCAGUGAAAUGCUGGCUUCAGUUAAAAUCCGGCAGGUCCUUUUCUUAUUUUCAGCCUCCUGGUUUCUCGGGAUGGAAUCGCACCUAAUGAUCGGGAUAAUGACAUUUAGGAAAAGGCUGUGUUUUAAAAUCCGCAGGGAAAACUACAUUUUGGGUUAGAUUAAAUACUGCCAUUCCUGGUAGAUAAUUAUUAGCGAGAGUUGUCUGAAGUUGUUCUUUGCCAGAUUCCCUGAAAAAUUCAAUAUAUGUUUGGUUUUGUUUUUUUUUUUUAAUUCAGUUGCCCCUUUUUUCUCUUGUGGGUUUUCCGAUUUUCUUUAAAUGCCUUUUUUAACUCCACAGCGCAAGUUAGGCCCUCCUCAUGGAAUUAUAUAUCAUGAUUGUGUUUCCUAAUUUGUCUAGGUAAAGUACGCCUGUACGAAUAAAAAGACGAGUGCAGGGUGAAAAUAGUUAUUAAAUGUUAUUUUAAAAUCAUGUCAGGGCUGCUGAGGAUGAUGGGCACAACGGCAGCAAAGGGAAUCUGCUGCAUCGCCACGUUGGUCUGUCAUGAGCAGCACCCGCUUCUGGCGUUCAUCUGUAAAAUUUGGUGGUGGUUAUGUUUCUGUUGCACAAUCUCCGGCCUUUAAACAAGACUUCUUUUUAAUGUAGCUUGGCUGAAAUCACGGUCCCGUUGUGUCAGUGACAGAAUCGUCCCAAAGAGUAUAAUUUCCAACAGGAAGGGAAUGGAGAGGAGGAGAAGAGAAGCGGUGUUGCCAGGUCACACAGCAAGUUUGUGACAGAAUUAGGGUUGCAUCCUCAAUAUUCUGUGUCUCAUUCUGACCCUAUCUCCGCUGGGACACCUUUAGGGAUGCCUCCACUUGUUCACCAUGAAUGAGAACACUCUGACUACCUCGUUCAUACAGCCCUGAAAAUGAUGCUGACUUUCAUUCAUCAGUGAACUAUAUGAAGUUCAGGCUCAUAGCCUUAGGGUGAAAAGUUGUAUGGACUUCAAAGCGAUAGGGACUCUGUAAAUAGCUAAGAAAGAAUGCAUAGACUGUUGCCAGUCCCUUGGGCUAUCGAGGCCUCUUCUGCAUCUGUAUGAGGUGGAGUUCACAGCCAUUCUGAGGAGACAUUACCGUUUAAGGGAACUGAAUAAGAUACAAUAUUUAAGUGCAAUAUUUUUUUUUUGACCUUGGUUUACUAUAUGCUGUUCAUUCCACAGUUACUCUGUGCAAAACUGACAAAGGUUUAUAUGACGAAUAAAAACGAAGUCAUUAUAACAUGCGCAGCACAGAUUUCUUCUAAGUUUCAUGUAACUUACGGUAAUAAUUUGUUGCUUAUCUACUAAAGAAAUUUCCAAAAUGUAUUGUAGUCCCACUCUAAAAUUUAAUUCUUUUGCAAGCUGCGUUCUUUCAGGUACUUACUUAUGUGUGGCAUACCAUUACUACUUGAAAAUAGGCAAAGAACAACUGAGUGGAAUGUAGUGAUGUAAGAGUUCUACUUUUUUUUUUCAUAGUGUUUGCUGGGGUUUGUUUUGUUUUGAAUUGGCUUAAGAGGAAAGGGAAUAUAAAGUACAAUGGAAGGCUGGAGGUCUAUAGAUAAUACUUCAUGAGCUAGAGUAACUAGUUCUUUGAAUCAAAAGCUUGCCUUCCCUCUCAUAAUCUGAAAGGAACAUGAGAAAAGGAUAAUGAUUUCAGCAUUUAUAGUCUAUAUCUUUCCAGCAGGCACUUUGCUCCCUACAUCCCACUUUAUAGGCUCAAAAUAGUCAAAUUAUCAGUUUACUCCCAGGAAGUGAAAAAGGUAGCACAUCACAGAAAUAAUUUAAAAGUUACAACAAGGAAAAUUUAGGACUACUUUUCCCGGGUAUCAAACAUUAACUGUAAGUAACACACAUGGUAUAUUGUCUUCUGCUUGACACAUUUCAGUAAGUUAUAUUCAGUACUACUAUCACUUCACUGGUUAUACAUUGUUCUGCAUGACAUUUUCAGUACAGAGUGACAGCUACAGUCCAUUUAUUUGGGGAAAAAAGAAUUUAAAAUCAUGGUGCCAUUUCUAAGAAUAGAAUUGGGAGAAAUAAAGGAAAAGUGAAGAAUUAUCAAGUAAUUUUGUCACAUAUAAAAAAUAUAAAAUAUUUUUAUAAUUUAAAAGACAGCACAAGUGAUUGGAGGCACAAAAGUUAAAAUAGUGGAAGGGACAGUAAAAUUCGUAGUAAUAAGUCGAAUAAGCAGAGUUGGAUGAUAAAAAUAGGAGAGAAAGAUAAUCGGGCACUUACUAGUAAGAGAUUAGUUAUCAUUCCCUGUUGGGCUGCUAGUCAGAAAUUUAAUCCUACCUUUCCUUUGAAGGCUAGCAUAUAACUAUAAAGUUAUGACAAAGUAGUUAUCAUUAAUCCUCGAGAACAGCUUUCAAAUGCUAUCAGUAUGAAAUGUUAAAUGAAGCUUCUCAAGUACAGAAAUUAAUUGUUAUAGGUGUCAAUACUCGGUUCAAUCUCUGUAUCUUAGAUACUUCUUUGGAUAAUGUAUCUUCCUCUCCUACAGAUCCAUAAAAAUACAUUGAUCGUCAUGGAUCCCUACAGUGCUAUGAGAAGACAUGCUGAAUGCUCAGCAGUGUGAUAGUGACAUUGAAAACUCUUGCUUAUUUUGACUCAGAAAUGUCAGGUGGUGUUGCUGGAAUUAAUCACUUCUCCAUACACCAGACUACUGGCAUCCUGAAUUUGUUACAUCAAAGGAUAUUGACUGAGAAGACAAAUAAUUAAAUGACCCAUAACACAGGGCAACAUUUUACUGUCUAUGCUGGAGUUACCUGGUAUCCAGUCCUGGUAUGCUUUCCCCUUUGAUACUGGGGUUAUAAAUCUUCUUAAAG